rnacentral:rRNA from 1 species
CCUACGGGGGGCAGCAGUGGGGAAUAUUGGGCAAUGGGCGCAAGCCUGACCCAGCAACGCCGCGUGAAGGAAGAAGGCUUUCGGGUUGUAAACUUCUUUUGUCAGGGACGAAGAAAGUGACGGUACUUGACGAAUAAGCCACGGCUAACUACGUGCCAGCAGCCGCGGUAAUACGUAGGUGACAAGCGUUAUCCGGAUUUAUUGGGUGUAAAGGGCGUGUAGGCGGGAAUGCAAGUCAGAUGUGAAAACUAUGGGCUCAACCCAUAGCCUGCAUUUGAAACUGUAUUUCUUGAGUGCUGGAGAGGCAAUCGGAAUGCCGGGUGUAGCGGUGAAAUGCGUAGAUAUACGGAGGAACAACAGUGGCGAAGGCGGAUUGCUGGACAGUAACUGACGCUGAGGCGCGAAAGCGUGGGGAGCAAACAGGAUUAGAUACCCGGGUAGUC